rnacentral:sRNA from 1 species
GUGAGCCCGCCCGCCACUCAGUGCCCGGGGUGUGCCGCCUCCGCAUCCUGCGCCCCAUCCUCUCCCAGCAGGUGGGCGUGCACUGCUGCAGCAGGAGGGGAAGGAAGACUCCUGAGUCCCUGGCCCGGCUGGGUGCUCUCCUCUCCGUAGCCUCCAGCCUGUCUGCACUGCAGCCCCAACCUGGGCCUAGCCUGCUGACCUCUGACCUUCUCUUUUGUUUUAAGAAACGCUUGAAAGCAGCUGAAGCUGAGAGCAAGUUAAAGCAAGUUUAUAUUCCCAACUAUAACAAGCCAAAUCCCAACCAAAUCAGCGUCAACAACGUCAAGGCCGGUGUGGUGAACGGCACGGGGGCGCCGGGCCAGAGCCCUGGGGCUGGCCGGGCCUGCGAGAGCUGUUACACCACACAGUCUUACCAGUGGUAUUCUUGGGGUCCCCCUAACAUGCAGUGUCGUCUCUGCGCAUCUUGUUGGACAUAUUGGAAGAAAUAUGGUGGCUUGAAAAUGCCAACCCGGUUAGAUGGAGAGAGGCCAGGACCAAACCGCAGUAACAUG